rnacentral:lncRNA from 1 species
GACUUCGGUUUGUAGCGAUGUCCCUAACCAAGAUAAAACUUUGUUUCAUACUCUCUUACUAAAAGGACAUGAAAAGAAAAGAUGUUUUUCGUCCUCAGCUUGUUGUAAACAAAAGACGCAUGAUAAUUCAUGAUGAUUAGUCAAAAUACCACGGUGAUGAAGAGCUGCUCUAGUUGGUAAUCUGUUUAAUAAUAACCUCCAACCGAAAACAUUUACUUUCGAAGGAACAUCC